CUCAUUUGUGGUAACUCCAUUAAUUUGAAAUUACCUCAUCCAUCUUCAGCCAUUUGUCUAUAUAAAGAUUAAUCUUUUAAUUGGAUGGUUUAAGACUUGCUCAAAGCUCAUCUGGAUUUCUGUGUCUAAUUUUGUUAAUGGAAAAGUUGUGACGACGUACGAAUUGAAAUGAAGCUUCAAAGCGUUGCAGUAAUACUUGUGAUCGCAACAAUAUGUUUGAUUGACGAUCCGAAAGCUUUAGGAGUGAAUUUAGAAGAGGAGACGAAGCAUGGGAAUCUCCAACCUCAAGAAAAUGACUAUGAAAGGGCUCCAUCAUUAUCUUCUACCAAUUCUCACCAUGAGAUUCCAUUGUUUAAGUUUAUCCCUCCACGAAACAGAAAAUAACUAAAUAUCGAGGCCAUGCAAGAUUUGGGUGUAUAACUACGUACUACUCCAUAUAAAAUAAACUAUAUAUGUGUGAUCUUUAGUCUUGUGGUUACAUUUUAUGUAGUAUGCACGUAAGAGAAAAUCAUGGGUUCAAUUGUCACUGGGGUUCAAGGGUGGGGUGGGGCUUUGUGUACACCGGAGAUAUGGGGAUCCAACCCAGACGUGACUUAUGUACGUACUUGUUGGACAAGUCAAUAAUAUCUAUCAUGUUUUAAAUUUAUUCAAGCAUGUUCUAAAUUUAUUCAACAAUGUUCUAAAUUUAGAACAUGAGAACCUAGUCAACACUAAGCCUGGUUAUUGGACAUGAGAAUUCUUAGGUUUAGGGCCUUAGCUCCUCCAUAUAAUGGAAUAAGUAUUGCUAAUGAAUAAUUAAGUAUGUUUCUUAAUCAAUGGAAGUUGGAUGAUAAAAUUCUUUCCAUCACGGUUGAUAAUGCUACUUAUAAUGAAGUGAUCGAUGGUGUCCACCUUGAAGAAACGUCUAGUUCCUAAAGGAGGGUUACUUGAUGGUGAGACUUUGUUUCAUGUACGUUGUUGUGUGCACAUAUUAUUAAUCUUAUUGUGCAAAAAGGAUUGUCUGCAUUAGUGAAAUAUUGGACAAAAUUCGUGCAUUGACAAAGAUGGUCACCAAAUCUUCUCAUAGGGGUGAUGAGGUCUAUGAUUGUGCGGAGAAGAUUUUCACUUAGAUGGAAAAAGGAAAUUGAACCUUGAUAUGCAAGUACGUUGGAAUUCCACUUAUAAAAUGCUUGGCACUACCCUUUAUUUUAAAGAAGUUUUUCUUCAUUAGAGUUCGGAUCAUGCACCAUUUAAGGCAUAUACUCCAUCAGAGGAUGAGUGGGAGAAAGUUAGUGUGAUUCACAACUUUUUGGAGUUAUUUUACGAAGUUACUUGUAUGUUUUCGGGCGUGAAAUAUCCUACUGCUAACUUGUAUUUCAAAGGUGCACGGAUAGUGCAUCGUCAUUUGUUUGAGGCGGGAAAUGGUCCUCACAUGUUUUUAAAGGAUAUGGUUCAACCAAUGCUUAUAAAAUUUGACAAGUAUUGGUCCGAAUACAACUUGCACUUGUCUUGCGCAGCCAUUCUUGAUCCAAGGUAUAAGGUCAAAUUUGUUGAAUAUUGUUUUAGUAAGUUAUUUGGUAGUGACGAGCCUUUAAGAUGAUUAAAUUUGGUGUUAGCGACUAUGAACUCCUUGUUUAUGGAUUACAAAUUACAAUAUGCUAGUAGUUCACCUACAAUAGUCUAUCCUUCUCCUGCUACUACUUUAGGAAGUAAGAACCACUUUGAUGAUUAUGACCAUUUUGUCGGCACUAGUACAAGGUCUAAAGUAGGAAAGUCACAACUUGAGAUGUACUUAGAUGAGAUGCUCUUGAUCUCAACUCGGAAUUGGAUGUUCUAGAGUUUUGGCAUCAAAGUUCUGAGAGAUAUCUUGUGGUUUCAAAGAUGGCACGAGAUUUGUUAACUAUUCCUAUGUACCGUAGCUUCGGAGUCCGCCUUUAGUUUUGGUUGAAAGACCGUUUUGGCAUCUCGUAGUGCCUUAAAGUCCAAAACAAUUGAAGCUUUGAUUUGUUUGCAAGAUUGGCAUCGUGGAGAUUCUGUUGAAGAUCAAGAGCAGUUUGAUCUUGAGUUUGAUGACGAGAUAGUUAGAGAAGAUGAAGAAGAAGAAGAUGAUGAUUAUGAUGAUGAUGAUGUAAACCCCUUUUUUUAGGGUUCCUUGAAGGGGCUGAUGUUGAUGCACUUGAGGGUGCUGCAGUUCGGAUGGCUGGUUAUGUACUUCUGAUCAGCAUCAAUUGGCAUAUGAAAUAGGAUUCUGCGCGUAUGAUUGAAGCAAUUACUGUAUAGUUGUUGAUUUGAUCUCUAUUUGUACUGAUUUAGUGAAUUUAAAUCUAUCUGGUUCAGCUACUAGGUGGACAUGCUCAUGUUAUGGAAUUGUUGGGUUUAAGAAAUU